GCGAUUGUGAGUGAGCGUGGGCGCAAGGGGCCGGGCGAUGGCAAGCUCGCGCGCAGGCGCAGAGCGCGCGAGCCGGCGGUCGCCGCAGAGCGCGGGGGGCGGAGCCGGAGCGCGGGGACCAGGCCAUGGCGGCCGCCGGGCGCUGGUGCUGGCGCUCGGCCCGGGAGCGCCUUUGUCGCCGCGGACGAUGGUGACCUCGCGGCUCGGGCCGCUGCCGCUGCCUCCGCCUCCCGAGACGCCGCAGCCGAGGCCGGACGCGGGAGAGCCGCCGCUGUGAGCCGCGCAUACCGGGCCCCCCGCCGUCGCAGCCGAAGAUCUCACCGGAGGGGCCGGCGACGGAUCCCGGCAGCAGCGGACACCGCCAUCCCCAGUGCCGUCCCGCAGGCAGGGAGGCUGCGGCUCCAGGUGACUGCGGUCAGCUCAGAGCAUCCCGCAGGCCUGCUGCCCACUGCGCCUCCCCUCCCCCAUCCUCGCUCCUCCCCGCCGCGCCCCCCUCCUCCUCCGAUCUUGGCCGGGGCCUGGUCCCCCUCUGCAUCGCGCCCUCCCGCCCACUCCGGAGCAGUGAACGGUCUCCUGUUACCUCCUAACAGAGCCCCCGUACUAGCUCCCGGGGCUUCGGCUGCUUCCUCCCCACCCACCAUCCCUCCUCUCCCGCGCCGGGCGAGGGAGAGAACCCUCACAUUCCUGAGAUGCCCUCCCUCGGGCUCACCCCUCUCUUCUUUCCAGUACCCCGGUUGCAAGGCUUUUCCCUGUCUCUCUCGCAGGGGUGCCCAGUCCGGGCCCCUUUGCUCACGUUUGCAUUUUCAACUUUCCCUCUUUUGCCUUUUAGUCCACUUUGCUUCCAAGCUUCCCUCCCUCUUUCCUGGCGUCCCCUCCCCGCAGCCCCUAAACUCAGCUAACCAUGUGCUGGCGGUGCGAGGCUGCGGGGUUCAGAAAGAACUGCCAAGCUCAUUGAGUAGGGGGGCCCCUGGCCAGCGAGCAAUGUGUCAGACUCUUCACAGUCACGAGCUGCUCAUCUGUCUCUUACUGCGUCCUGGUUCCUUUUCCCGCUUGCCAUUCCUGGAUUCACCCUCUCCAGGUCUGCUUUUCCACCCUACGACUCAUGCUCUCCCUUGUGGAAUGGGCUCCCCAUUCUAUCUCGGGGUUAGGAACUUGGCUCCACUCUUCUAA
rnacentral:lncRNA from 1 species